AGCGAACGCUGGCGGCGUGCCUAACACAUGCAAGUCGAACGUGAAAAGGGAAACCUGAGUACAGUGGCGUACGGGUGAGUAACGCGUAGGUAAUCUACCCCAGAAUCUGGAAUAACCUGCCGAAAGGCGGGCUAAUACUGGAUAGAGCGAGGGAACUCGUAAGAGAGUUUUUCGGGAAAGGGAGCCCGCAAGGGCCUUCGUUCUGGGAUGAGCCUGCGUCUCAUUAGCCAGUUGGUAAGGUAACGGCUUACCAAGGCGAUGAUGAGUAGCUGGUCUGAGAGGAUGAUCAGCCACACUGGAACUGAAACACGGUCCAGACUCCUACGGGAGGCAGCAGUGGGGAAUCUUGCGCAAUGGACGAAAGUCUGACGCAGCCACGCCGCGUGAGUGAAGAAGGCCUUCGGGUUGUAAAGCUCUGUCGGAUGGGACGAACAUCUUCAUAGUGAAUAGCUAUGAGGACUGACGGUACCAUCAAAGGAAGCACCGGCUAACUCCGUG
rnacentral:rRNA from 1 species